rnacentral:rRNA from 1 species
UACGAAGGGGGCUAGCGUUGCUCGGAAUCACUGGGCGUAAAGGGUGCGUAGGCGGCCCUGUAAGUCAGUGGUGAAAUACUGCAGCUUAACUGUAGCAUUGCCAUUGAUACUGCAGGGCUUGAGUACAGAUGAGGUAGGCGGAAUUGAUGGUGUAGCGGUGAAAUGCAUAGAUACCAUCAAGAACACCGAUUGCGAAGGCAGCUUACUAAGCUGUAACUGACGCUGAGGCACGAAAGCGUGGGGAUCGAACAGG